UUGCCCCCGACCUCCCCUCUCCUCCCCGAGCUCCUCCUCCCCCGAUUCCGGCUAUCGCGCCCCGAAACCCUCUCGGAAACCGUCGCCCCCGACCUCCCCUCCCCCGAUUCCGGCUGCCCGCGUGUGGAUUGGGUACCCCUCUGCCCCGGAUCGUCGCCCUCGCCCGGCAUCAGCGUCCGUCUCCGUGUUGUGGCGUCCGCAGUCUCCAUGGAAGGCGAUCUCGCGCGUGGAUUAGGUACCCCUCUGCCCCGGAAGGUGUCGAGGCUCUCCUACCCCUCUGCUGGCGCCAGCACCGCCCAUUCGGGACCACGCGCAGCCCUCACCACGGCCCCUUGCGAAUUCUCAGAUCUGAGGCCACCGACGGAUCUAGAGGUGACAACGAUUUCCCCGAGUUCAAGCGCCAUUGACCGCAGCAAGACCUGA
rnacentral:misc_RNA from 1 species